GAUCCCAUCAGAACUCCGAAGUUAAGCGUGCUUGGGCAAGAGUAGUACUAGGAUGGGUGACCCCCUGGGAAGUCCUCAUGUUGCACCC
rnacentral:rRNA from 1 species